UAGGGAAUCUUCCGCAAUGGGCGAAAGCCUGACGGAGCAACGCCGCGUGAGUGAUGAAGGUCUUAGGAUCGUAAAACUCUGUUAUUAGGGAAGAACAAACGUGUAAGUAACUGUGCACGUCUUGACGGUACCUAAUCAGAAAGCCACGGCUAACUACAUG
rnacentral:rRNA from 1 species